rnacentral:rRNA from 1 species
GACGAACGCUGGCGGCGUGGAUUAGGCAUGCAAGUCGAACGGUAUCAUCCUUUCGGGGGUGAGAGAGUGGCGAACUGGUGAGUAACACGUAGGUUAUCUACCCUCAAGACGGGGACAACCCAGGGAAACUUGGGCUAAUACCGGAUGUGAGCAACUUUUAGUUGUUUGAAAGGUGGCGUAAGCUGUCGCUUGGGGAUGAGCCUGCGUCCUAUUAGUUAGUUGGUGAGGUAACGGCUCACCUAGGCAAUGAUAGGUAGGCGGCCUUAACGGGUGGUCGCCCACACUGGGAUUGAGAUACGGCCCAGACUCCUACGGGAGGCAGCAGUCGAGAAUAGUCUACAAUGGUCGGAAGACUGAUAGUGCGACGCCGCGUGAACGAUGAAUCCCUUCGGGUGUAAAGUUCUUUUAUAUGUGAGCAGUGCUUCUUAUAUUUAACAGUAUGGGGAGAGAGAUAUUAGCAUAAUGAAUAAGCAACGGCUAACUCCGUGCCAGCAGCCGCGGUAAACUCG